CCCUGUGACCUGUCCUGUAGGGCUUCUGGCCUCUGCCUGCCCCCGCAUCAGCCACAUCUAACUUGGGAGCCCUUUGGGUCCUAGGGACACCUGGUGCACCUGGCUUGUUUCAUGGAGGCCUUGAGAGGGGCCACCCAGAGCAGCGAUCACACAGCCAUUUGGUGGCGUGGCUGGGGUUAGGCUCUUCCUGCGCACUCUCUGUUGUCCUUGGCAUGGAUGCCCUGGCGGCCACCCCCAGGAGGCUCAGAAAAGGGACACAUGAGGGUUGUAGGCACAACCUGGGGUGGGCUCUGUGUCUGUGGGUCUUGGGGCCACCUGGGCGCUGAGCCGGCUCCUCCUGCAGGUGCCAGCGGCAUGGGGUCCUACCAUGGCAGGAAGAGCUUCGAGACCUUCUCUCACCGCCGCUCGUGCCUGCUGCGGUCUCUGCUGAACGACGAGGUCUACAAAGCCAGAUACCCCCCCAGCCCGGCCAAGAUGACCUGGCACUGAGGAGGGGCCACCCUGCUGGGCCCCCAUGCUGAGCGCCGCUUCUGGAGCCUGGGCCCCAGCCCCCUGCUCCUCUGCCGACCCCAACUGGCCCCCGACCCCCAGGUGGACCUUGGGCCUCACCCCUCCGUGUCCCCAAACCUUGCUAGACACACAGAGACCAAUAAAGUUCUGCAGCUCA